rnacentral:rRNA from 1 species
GACAGAGGGUGCAAACGUUGUUCGGAAUUACUGGGCGUAAAGCGCGUGUAGGUGGCAAGGCAAGUCGGGUGUGAAAGCCCGGAGCUCAACUCCGGAACUGCCUUUAAGACUGCAUCGCUAGAACGUUGGAGAGGUGAGUGGAAUUCCGAGUGUAGAGGUGAAAAUUCGUAGAUAUUCGGAAGAACACCAGUGGCGAAGGCGACUCACUGGACAACUGUUGACGCUGAGGUGCGAAAGCGUGGGGAGCAAACAGGG